AGAUGGGGUGAUCAGGAGAAGGGUGAGGUCAUCAAGGGGAGAGGCAGGGAAUGCAGAAAAGGUCUGCUGCAGACGAGGGGAUUGGUGAGAAUUUUCUCUUGUCACAAAUGCUAGUGGGGGCAGCCCAGGGUACUGAGACUUCCAGUUGCUGGCACCUGAGAGAGACAGUCUCAAAGGGCAGUGCUGUGAUUUGCAGAUGGGCUCUGUGGCUUCCCGGUGACCCUCGAUGAUCAUUGGCCCCUCCAGGUCUCAGCGUCCUCCGCUGUGAAAUGCACUGGCCACACUGCAGGGCCACCCAGGGGAUGGCGUGAGGGGGUGGAGGAUGGUGCCUCAGGCCACAGGCAACCAGACUGGCGCUGGGCCUGAAUCCGACCUUCACACUGAGCCUAUCCCUUCCCUUUUUGUGAUUUUUUGGUUUUGAGACGGGGUCUUGCUAAGUCACUCAGGCUGCGCUUCAGCUUACAACUCUCCUGACUCAGCUUCCCAGAGUACUGCGGUUAUAGGCGAGCUUCCGCCUACAUUUAUUAUUUUUAUUUUUUUAUUUUUUUAAUCCUUCAUGUAUGCAUUACAUUUACUAUUUAUUAUUUGGUGGUGCUGCGGACUGAUCCUGGGGUCAAGCACGUGGCAGGCAAUCGCUUUGCCACCUGCUGCAAAAAUGAGCCCUAGUUUUCCUUCUGUCUAAAAAGAACUUCGAUUUGAUUCAAGGUGCCAUCCAGAAGGCAGAGCCCUGCCCUGUGAGGCCUGCAUGGCAGCACUGCUAAGGAUGGUUCACAUGUCCAUCCGGGGAGAGGAUGGAGACCCGAGGUCACUUGGGGCAGGUCUGGGUCGGGCCUCUGCCACUGAACUGAAUCUCAGAAGGUAAUUAAUAAGGAUGCAGGUGGGGAAAAAGGUCACCGCAUUAAGUGGUAUUCAACUUUGGGAUUCCUCCUGGAGCCUGCAUCACCCCGUCCAACCCAAACAGCCAUAAAAACCAGAUUAAUUGUUUAGAAGGGCAAAAGGCCAAGUGAGCUGAAAUAGCAGGUUCUCCAUUUAUGAAGUCAACAAAACCAUCUUUGUGUGCGCUUCCUGGAGCACCGCGUUCACCGCAGUGGCUCUGUGCGUGACCCCGCUGCAGGGGCCCCGGAUGGGCUGGGCACAGGGCGCCCCUCAUGCACGUGCUCAGCUUGCAAUCGCACAGGCCUGCUAGGUCCAAAACUGCCAGUUGCUUAGGCAAUAUAGAAUCACACACAGUUAACCUCCUGCAGUACAGACACUCCAUGGACUGUGCUACAGCCACUUUCCAUACAGACAUGCAUAUACAUAUAUACUUUUUUUUUGGUGUUUCAGACAGUGGCUCACUACACAGCCCAGGUUGGCUUUGAACUUGCAGCGACCCUCCUGCCUCAGCCUCCUCAUCUCCUCGAAGUGAUGGGUCUUUCUGUGCAAAGGCUGGGUGGAUUUAACACUGCUCUUUUCUUCUAGGUGGCUCUCUCAGGUAACAAAGGCACCUUACCAGUGAGCUCACUGCCUCUGGUUGCCAGAUGCCAGGAGGCAGGUCCUGGAGCUGCCCUCCUCCACUCUGGCUUUAGAAGCGUCUGCAGCUGGCUGUGGUGGUGCAUUCCUAGAAUCCCAGUCCUUGGGAGGCUGAGGCAGGAGGAUUGCUACUUUACAGAGUGAGAUCUGUUUCAAAAACAACAAAAAACCAAAGUCAACACCAAAAUCACAAUGAAUGCAGCUGAGCAUGGUGCAGUCUGUCUGUGAUUUCAGCAUUCACGAGGCUGAGGCAGAAGGCUUGCCACAAAUUCAAGGCCAGCCUGAAUUACCCAGUGAGACCCUGUCUCAAAACACCAAAACCGAAAUCCAAAUAAAUACAGCAAAUAAAAAUUUCUGGAUUUACAUAAUUUAUUGUUUUAACUUUUUCAAAGAACAUAUAUCACUUAAAAAAAUAAAUGCAAAGUUUGCUCAUUUUGUAAUACACAUAUUUACAAGCUUGUUCCAUCUCUACAUGUGGUAAAAUUAUAUUUUCCACAAUUCCACAUUACUGUCACUUGCAAAAUAUUUUUCCAACAAAGUCUCCAUUUUCGUUGGUCCACUAUCUUCUUCCUUUCCUGGAUCUUGGGUUCUUUUUGGCUUCAUUGUAUUUCUUUUUAAAAAGCUUUUUUUCAAUUAGGCUCACUUCGUCGUGGAGGAGGGCAGCCUUUACUCGCAGCAGGAAGGCGAAGAGGUUUAGUAGAAACUGAUAGCUCAGGGAGAAAUUGGACUCUUCGUAGGUGGUCACGUGUUUGCAGUAGCUGGGAGAGAAGGGCAGGGAGUGGGUUACUUCCUGCCGUAACUCAGAAAUGUGCUGGGCGUGGUGUGGAGGGCACAUCUGUGGUCCUAGCACUCGGGAGGCCGAGGCGGGAGGAUCACUGCUAGUUCAAGGCCAGUAUGGGUCACAUGGAGAGACCCUAACUCAAACCCAAACCCACCACAGAUCGAAACGACUGCCCUCGACGAUAGCCCUGAGCUCUGAAGCAUCACCUACCUUCUGCAGAAUUUCUGGGUGCUCAGCCAGUAUAAGGAGUUCUUGGUCACCAGUGCCUGGCCUUUUUUUAGCAGGACACCCCCAAGACUGUGGCUGUGGAAACAGGGCCGGCCGGGGUCGCCUUCGGCCCAGCUGAGCUGGAAACUCGCAGCGCUUUUCUUCGUCACGGUUGGGGCUGGAUCCAGCAGGGUGCUGAACUGCUUCUGCAGAUUAACCACCACUUCUGGAGAUGCAAGGAAAAGGGAGGUGUGACGCACGCACACAAGCAGUGCCAUGUUACACGCCAGUCUGGUGCGCCAGCUUCCUGGUUCUGAGAGAACAUUUCACAGCAGAGAAUGAGGGUGGCGCUGGGCAAGACAGAAACUGGAUAAAGGGCAAAGAACCACGUAAGAAAACACCAUUACAAAUGGCAAAUUUGAGGUAUAGUUUAUCCAGAUUUAAAGAGAGCUGGGAAUGGUAUGCAUGUCUGUCAUGCCAGCACUCUGAGAGUCUGAGGCAGGAGGAUACAGGUUUGAGACCACCUUGGGCAACUUCAUAAGAUCGUGUCUCGAAAUAAAAUAAUCUUUAAGAAAAGGCUCAUAGUGAAAGCCCUGAACUUGACCUCCAGAACUGAAAAAAAGUGCAAUCUGGAGUGAGAGUCUCGCAACAGUUCACAUAGCCCGAGGUCUGGCAUCUUAGAUUGUGCUGCUGUGAACUAUGCAGUGGCUAAGGGCACAGACCCUGAGAAGUCUCGCAGCGGCCGAGGUUCUCUGGGGAACUCUCCAUCUCGGACGUUUCCAGGAAGCAUGCACUUGCCCUGGGCCCUCAAGUGUCAAGCCAUCUUCGUGGCAGCUCCACAGCAUCCCCACCACCCGGUUAUCUGGAAGCCCGACUCACCCCUCCUCUUGUAGGCCACGGGCUUGUCAAUGUGGGAGUGGUAGAGUGGCUUUUCGCUCUUCCACAUGUACCUGUGCAAGGCAGAGGACAGCUGGGGUGGGAGGCUAGGAGCUCCUGGCACACUCAACACAGUGCCAGAGGCGGGGUCCAGCCCCGGCACAGUGGACGGUGCGGGCUCAAGCUGCGGGGCGGGUGUGCUGAUCACACAGAACUGAGUAACGGGCGGCAGGGCGUGCUGGUGCCCCCACCCCAGUGUUCAGGAAGCUGAGGCAGGAGGAGCUCCCUCCACAGCAUCUCCCUGUGGCUUCUGCUCAAAGUGAAGUUGCUAGAGUGACAGCUGUCCUUUGCUGCCUCUGCCCUCACCGAGGGCCAAGUCCUGGCACCUCCGGUUGGGUUCCUGCUGGACACGGCUGGCUGGGGACAGUUGCUGGCAUGGGGAGGGUGGGAUGGGACACUGGACUAACCGGGCCUGCAGGGUCCCCUACAGGGCAGAGACUAAGAGUUGCUGCAAUCCUUCGGGUUGCCGGUGAGCAGCCCUGCAGGCCUGAAGGGAGACACACAGACCACAGUGUCCUGGCCUAGUGCCACUGCAGGCUGCCUCCUGGAUGCUGUGGUCUGCAAAUAUGGUGACAAUGAUGGUGUUCUUUUUUUAAGGAGGAAGAAGAUUUUUUGAGAUGGUCUUGGUGUGUUGCUCAGGCUGGCCCUGAAUUCACUAUGUAGCCCAAGCUGACCUCAAACUCACAGGAAUUCUCCUGCCUCAGCCUCCCAAGUGCAGUGCCCAUGUCUGGCCAUAGAGCCGACCUGUAUCUCAUUCCCACGCCUUCUGAGCUCCACAGGUGUCUCAGAACCCGUGGGCACAACUACAGCUGCCUUUGUGCCCCAGGGCCCCUUUUGAUUUUGAGGUGCUGUGACGACAGGAAAGAGUGCUGAGUUGGAGAACCCGGCCCUGCCACUUCCCAGGGAAAGCUGAGUGCCAAACAAAGGUUUGAGAAGGCAGAGGCAGGCCGGUCUCCUCUGGGCCCCCAUGUGGGCAGGGAGUGGCAGCUUGCAGAGACUCAUGUCAGUGUGUGGUGACAAGUGGGUGAAGAUACAACCAGGUGAGUCUGACCUCUCUAGCCCUGCAGAGCUGCACGAGGAAUAAUAAUAACAGUAAUAUAAUUACUAAUAUUAUUCCCUACAGCCUAGAUAACCAUUGAACAAAACGAACCUAUCUGUGGAUUUUCCAGAAAAGCUGACAGGGAAUCGGAAGUCAAAAAUAUUUACCUCUGGUAACCUACAAUGAAUAGUAGUAAUAGUAGUGCUCCUUUUUAAUACUUGGAAAGAAAAUAUGCGUAAUAGUAGACAUUUAGUAAUCUUAUGAUGGCCAAUGACUGCUGUAGUCAAUUUAGAAUUGGGAUUUUUCUUAAGGAUUUAAAAAAUAAUCAAGUCAGUACCAUCAGGACUAUGAGAGACAGAGAAAGAUGGAGGGAGAGAAAGGUCCCCCCACGAGACAAGGUCUGGCUAUGCAGUUCAGGCUGGCCUCGGACUCACUAUGUGGCCCAGGUCCUCCUGCCUCAGCCUCCUGAGUGCUGGGAGUCCAUUUGGUCUCCACGCCCUGACCUUGUGCACCCACACAUGCUUCUCUGUCCCUGCAAGUGACUGGAAGGGAAGUAGAGCCACACUGAGUGGUGCCCUCAGUCUCUGCUUGGCUCUCAGGGGCUGCCCCAUACUCGGGCUAUCUCGUGGCCCUUGGGAGCUGCUGUGGCUCCAGCAGGGGUGAACAAGGCCAUACUCAGUGGCCCGAUGAUCUUUUGUGGACGAGAGCUCCCCAUGCUUGGGUGAGCAGUGCAGAGUGGAUGGCCCUCGUAUGACCUUGAUGUGCGCAUGACUUUGGGGGACAGGGCUAUGCUUCCUGCAUGGCUGCACUGUUCUGUAUCCGCAGGUGGAAUGCCUGGGCUUUGGGCUCGUUUCACCACUCAUGGAACACACUGCACUGUGAGUUUUCCCCUUGCAGGUUAGGCUGGCCUGGAAUUGGUGGGCUAUCGCUCUACCUCGUCCAGCCUAUGUGGUGCCCUGGGUUCUAGAUCCAGCACCCACAGGGAAAAGCUCACCUGAGGGUGAACUUGUCUGAGACUAAAAGUCCCAGCACUGAUGAGUCUGUGCUGAUGGAACGUCUGCUCUGGGAGGCUGAGGCAGGAAGGUCACCAGUUCAAGCCCUGCCCGGGCAGCUUAGUGAGACCUUGUCUCAGAAAUAAAAAACAAGAGGGGCUGGGGGUGCAGCUCAGGGGUGGGUGCCCUGGUGGUCCCUAACAUCUCUGAAGCAGCGACAACGUACUUGGCGCGUGCGUCCUCCCACUUCCGCCUCUGCUCCUCCAGUGUCCUCUUCAUGACGUGGUACCACUUCCUGAAACUGAACCAUGGCUUCCCUGCAAGAAACAGGCCACGAAGACAUGGGGGAACCGAACUGUGCAACAGUGAGACAGUGAGACAGGACUUCUGGGACCUUGGUCCAGGCGGAGUGGAACAUUUCCACAAUGGCGCCUGAGGUCGUCACCUCCCCCGUCUGCCUCUCCAGACAACAAUGACAGGGUCUGCUGCCGCAGUGCCACUGGGCCGCCACCUUUCCCCAAACCCAGCGCCACAUGCCGGCCCACGCAGACCAAGGGAUAGUGAGUGACACGCAUGUGAAGCCGGCUUAGCUGGCACUGGGUGUUCGGACCCUGUCCCGCCCUGCCAGGCUCCCCCAUAGCUGUGCGGAGCUCGGGAAGGCAGCAUGACAGGGCCUGCAGGGACCAAGGGGAUGGUCCCCCAAUGAAGACGUCUCUUUCGACUCUGCACAGAGGUGUCACCUGCACCAUCUGGCCUGGGGGCCCAUUCAGUGCCCAGGUGUGACCUCUCAGCAGCCGGGAAUGUCAGAGGGUGGCAGACGACAGUGCAGGGACCACGGCCCAGCCUGCGGGGGGCACAGCAUCCCAAGGUCUAAAGGGAGAGGUCAAGUAUCAGUCCGCUUGGCCUGUGAUCGGGCCUUGGGGAAGCAGCCAAAACUGCUGUGGGCCCCAAUACACCUGGAUGCUCAGAGCAGCGGUCAGAGGCCAAUCAUUGCCUCGCACAGGCUCUGGGAAGACAAAGCGACUGCUCCUCAGCCUCCUGCGCUAAUUAGAACAGGAGGACAGUGGGUCUGAGUUUAAGAACUCAAGUAUCAACCAGGUGUGGUGGUGCAUACCCGUCAUCCCAGCACUGGGAAGGCUGAGGCAGGAGGAUCGCUACUAUUCACCACUUCACUGAGAAGAAAAGGCAGAGGGACCAGCAUGAGCCAAGACUGAGGCUCAGGACAUCGUGGUGGCCUUGGCCAGGGGGCAGAACGGGCACUCGGAGUGGCCACGCACUCUGCACGGCAGGAGCCGCUGGUAGUCUGGCAGCUGCCACCUGGUAGGGGGUAAGCUGAAAUGUAUCCUUGGACAGGUGUGGCAUGUGCAUGCAGACGUGUGCCUGUGUGUGGAUGUAUUAUUCCAGUUCCCGCCCUGUGUUUACUGCAUCUUUGAUACAUCAUUUAUGAUCACUCUGAGUUUGACACACAGAAAAGUCAGUACCUGUUUUGUUCUUUUCAUUGUUGACUUCAGCGAGAUCAGACAAAGACCUAGGGAUAACAAUAAUCGAAUUGAUUUAUUUAGAAAUCACACAUGUGAUGGUACAUUUUGUUUUUUUAUUUAUCUAUUUUUUUGAGACAGAGUCUCCAUUUGUGGUCUAGGCUGGCCUUGAACCUGCGGCCACGCUCCUGCCUCCGCCUUUGGAGUGCUGGAUUACAGGUGUGCACCACCUGGUACAGCUAAGAGUUACAUUUUGAAUUCUUUGGAUAGAAAAGUAUCAAAUAGUAUUUGAAACAUUGAAUUUUCCUGGAGAAACAAUCACUGAGGCUAGGAGGAAACACUAGGAAAACCACUCUGGCCAGCCACCCCUGUCCUCCCAGCACUAGGGAGGCUGAGGCAGGAGGACUGCUGUGAGCUGGGGGUCACUCUGGGUUACACGGUGAGUUCAAGGCUGGCCUGAAUGGCACAGUGAGAUCCUGCCUCAAAACAAACAAAAAGCAGACGUGUGCUCAGAACGGAUCAAGUGUCACUUGCCAUCCAAUGGAAAUACUCUCACCACUCUACGCUGUCGUCCAGUAGGAAGAGCAGCUUUAAGACCACCACGAUGAGAGCCACAGCCAGCACGUCAUACUUCACAGUUGUGGCAGCUUUCGCGAUGGGGUCAAAGGUCAGGGAGUCCACCUCUCCCCAGCCGGUCAUCUCUGUCACCUGGUGGAUUAAUCCGUGCAUUUCAUCUGUUGAAGAGCAAAAUGGUCAAAUGUGAAGUGCUUUUUUUCCUUCGGAAUUAAAUUCUUUGGCAAACUACAGCACAGCAACAUGUGUACCCACAAGACGUGAGGCCACACGAGAGAGACAGGAGAGAUACACACACGAAGGGCACACACCUGAAACCCCAGCUGCUCAGAAGGCUGAGGCAGGACAACCCCAAAUUCAAGGCCAGCCUGGGCAACCCAGUGAGAGUGUCUCAAAAAUUUAAAGUGGGGCAUGGGGGAUAUAGCUCUGCAAGCCUUGGGUACAAUCUUUAGUUCUGGGAAGUAAGACAUGAUGCUCUGCUAAGGCCGUAGAACCUGAAGAAAUGUAAAGGCCAAGUCUCACCAAGGCCGCCAUCACUGUCUGCAGUGGCCCCUGGUUCGAAAUAGCCACUUUUUUUUCUUUUGAGACAGGGUUUCACUAUCUUACUAUGGAGCCCAGGCUGGCCUGGAACUAGCAGUGAUCCUCCUGCCUCA